AUUAAGUUGUUGCAGUUAAAAAGCUCGUAGUUGAACCUUGGGCCUGGCUGGCCGGUCCGCCUCACCGCGUGUACUGGUCCGGCCGGGCCUUUCCUUCUGGGGAACCUCAUGCCCUUCACUGGGCGUGCUGGGGAACCAGGACUUUUACUUUGAAAAAAUUAGAGUGUUCAAAGCAGGCCUUUGCUCGAAUACAUUAGCAUGGAAUAAUAGAAUAGGACGUGUGGUUCUAUUUUGUUGGUUUCUAGGACCGCCGUAAUGAUUAAUAGGGAUAGUCGG
rnacentral:rRNA from 1 species